rnacentral:rRNA from 1 species
AGAGUUUGAUCCUGGCUCAGAACGAACGCUGGCGGCGUGGUUUAGGCAUGCAAGUCGAACGGUCCUUGCUCGAAUUUGAGUCUUCGGACGAUGAUUUGAGCGCUGGAUAGUGGCGAAAGGGUGAGUAACACGUGAGUAAUCUACCUGUGCGCUGGGAAUAACUCGCCGAAAGGCGGGCUAAUACCGAAUGAUAUCUUUUGCUCGCAUGGGCGAAAGAUCAAAGAUGGCCUCUCCUUGGAGGCUGUCGCGCGCAGAUGAGCUCGCGGCCUAUUAGAUAGUUGGUGAGGUAAUGGCUCACCAAGUCUGCGAUGGGUAGCCGGCCUGAGAGGGUGAACGGCCACACUGGGACUGAGAUACUGCCCAGACUCCUACGGGAGGCUGCAGUCGAGAAUCUUCCGCAAUGGGGGAAACCCUGACGGAGCAACGCCGCGUGCGCGAUGACGGCCUUCGGGUUGUAAAGCGCUGUCACAUGGGAUGAAAUGCAUGGGCUCGAAUAAAGCCCAUGUUUGACAGUACCAUGAGAGGAAGCCCCGGCUAACUACGUGCCAGCAGCCGCGGUAAUACGUAGGGGGCAAGCGUUGUUCGGAUUUACUGGGCGUAAAGGGCGAGCAGGUGGCAGAUCAAGUCAGGUGUGAAAGACCUUGGCUCAACCAGGGAAUGGCACUUGAUACUGUUCUGCUUGAGUGCAGGAGAGGAGAGCGGAAUUCUCGGUGUAGCGGUGAAAUGCGUAGGUAUCGAGAAGAACACCCGUGGCGAAGGCGGCUCUCUGGCCUGUAACUGACACUGAGGCGCGAAAGCGUGGGGAGCGAACGGGAUUAGAUACCCCGGUAGUCCACGCUGUAAACGAUGUGCACUAGGUGUAGGGGGAAUCGACCCCUUCUGUGCCGCAGCUAACGCAUUAAGUGCACCGCCUGGGGACUACGGCCGCAAGGCUAAAACUCAAAGGAAUUGACGGGGGCCCGCACAAGCGGUGGAGCAUGUGGUUUAAUACGAAGCAACGCGUAGAACCUUACCGGGGUUUGACAUGCAAGUGUUACCGACCUGAAAGGGAAGGGACCCUUCGGGGAGCUUGCACAGGUGUUGCAUGGCUGUCGUCAGCUCGUGUCGUGAGAUGUUGGGUUAAGUCCCGCAACGAGCGCAACCCUUGUCCAUAGUUGCCAGCGGUUCGGCCGGGGACUCUAUGGAGACUGCCGGUGAUAAGCCGGAGGAAGGUGGGGAUGACGUCAAGUCAUUAUGGCCCUUACGCCCCGGGCUACACACGUGCUACAAUGGUCGGUACAGAGGGUCGCCAAACCGUGAGGUGGAGCCAAUCCCUAAAAACCGGUCUCAGUUCGGAUUGGAGUCUGCAAUUCGACUCCAUGAAGCCGGAAUCGCUAGUAAUGGCGCAUCAGCUACGGCGCCGUGAAUACGUUCCCGGGCCUUGUACACACCGCCCGUCACAUCACCCGAGUCGAAUGCACCAGAAGUCGCUGUACCAACCUCGUCCAGAGGAGGAAAGUGCCGAAGGUGUGCUCGGUAAGGGGGAUGAAGUCGUAACAAGGUA